rnacentral:piRNA from 1 species
UAACUCAAUAAGUUUGGUCACCCAUCA